AGGCGCGAAAUAUUGAUGAUGAUAACAGCAGUGUAAAAGUUUACGAAAGUUCGAGCUUUGUGUUAUAAAGUUUGUAUGAAAAUUAUUCCUUAAAAGUUGUUCAAGUGUUUGAACAUUCAAUGAAUCGGUAAUGGCCGGCCGACUAGUCGUUGAGUUACAUUCGAGCAUUCGAACUCGAGCAACAUACGUCGACGUUCCAAGACUUGACUAAAAUCUUCCUGUAAUUUCUGCUACGAAAUGUAAAUAAUUUAUGAUUCAUUUCAUUGUACUUGACAAAUCAGUAUUACGAGCAAGAAUCUUUAUUCUACCAGCGUUGUUCAAUACAAGCAGAGCGAUAUGAAUUCAUCAGUGUUUCGGUAUCUCAUCGACGGUGUUUUGGAUGUAAAAAAAUGCUCAUCGAAGAGUAAACGAUACCUUUCCUUCGACUUUUACGACGAAAACGAGCUUCGAGUAGCGAAAAAAGUGAAGGUUGUGAUGUGCGACGAUGGCGUUACCGGUGCUUCGGUUGCUCAUCAUUUGGCGGAAAUCGGACGGGGUUCAUCGCAGAUUUUUGCGAUUAAUUAGGAAUGGAAACAACCAGAAGAUAACGUAGCUGAAAUCAAACAAGUGCAUAAUAUCUUCUGUGUGAACCAGCUUAUUUCGAUUUGCAAUUGAUCCUGGAUGAUCACGAUGUUGAAUGGAAACGAACUAAUUUUGUUAAGAUGAUGAAUACAUUGGAGAGAUUACAACCACCGGUUACCGUUUCACGUUCAAUUAACAGGUUUGUUUGAUUUUUAUUCAGAAAAGAUUGGUGAUUGUAUUCAACAAUUACGUCUUGUUCAGGACUCAUGAGGUUGAUUGACGUUUCUGCCAAGCUGAACUUACAUUUGCUCAUAUUACCGAUCAAGUAUCAGGGAUCCGGAUAAAGGUGCAUUGUAUUUUGUAUCUCGUGAUAAAAUGGUGAAUAAGCCACUACUCAGACAAGUCUAGGUUGCUCUCAGUCACUUCCCAAGCCGAAGACGGAAAAAGAACGAUUUUUGCCAGAGAUAUUUAGUAUUACCUUAUUGCUUCAUUUGUACGAUGUACAUAUGCAUAUAAGUGUGGCUUUUAUAGGGAUCCUGGACCAUAGCAGUCAUUUUCAGUAAUUACCUUUUCUCCUCUCACAUCGUUCUCUCCUAUAUUUUAUAAGAAUUUGAGAUUACGGUUACGAUGGGAUAUUUUGAGAACAUGAAAUUCGAAUAAGAAACGAAAAAGUACUUCGAAAGCUCAUCUUCGAGCUUUGAUCUCAUUCUGAGUACACAUCGCUCGUAGUCAUCGUGUUGGUUCUGUUUUAUGAUUUCGUCAAAUGUUGCUGUUUGAUCUUUUGAAACUACUUUCUGCUGCUAACGAUGUGUUGUUCGGUGCAAAUAUCGUGAAAAUAAUGAUAUUUAUCUUGGUUUAAUACUCUUUCGAAGAGAUUUCGUUGUGAAUAUAACUUGAAAUGUUCUAUUUUAUCUGAGACACCAACAGAAGUAAAUGAGAAUACUUGGGAUGGCAUUUUAGAAAUUUUUCUCCAAAAACACUAUCGAUGACAAAAAAAGAUGAGCAAUAAAAUUGAACGAAACGGAAAAGAAACCAUUCAAAAGGAGAAACUUGUAGUCUUUUUUUCAAAAUUGAAUUUAAAAAAUAUCUACUACUCCUGAUUUAUUCAUAAAUAUUCCUGAAAAAAAUUAAAGUAAAGUACAAAAGUAACUUUUUAACUAAUAUUUUCUUAAGAUGUAAUUACUAUUAAUAUCUAUCAAAUAAUUUAUUUAUUCUUUUUUUUCUUUUUUAUGCUUUAUUUACUUGAUAAUGGUGAUAUUAAACUUUUUUUUUCUAUUAAGUAAUUUUUUUUUAUGUUGCCAGUAAUAAAUUCAAUUUCCUUUU